rnacentral:rRNA from 1 species
GUGGGGAAUAUUGCACAAUGGGCGAAAGCCUGAUGCAGCAACGCCGCGUGAGCGAUGAAGGCCUUCGGGUCGUAAAGCUCUGUCCCAAGGGAAGAUAAUGACGGUACCUUGGGAGGAAGCCCCGGCUAACUACGUGCCAGCAGCCGCGGUAAUACGUAGGGGGCAAGCGUUAUCCGGAAUCACUGGGCGUAAAGGGUGCGUAGGCGGUCUUGCAAGCCAGGGGUGAAAGGCUAUGGCUCAACCAUAGUGAGCCUUUGGAACUGCCGGACUUGAGUACAGGAGAGGAAAGUGGAAUUCCUAGUGUAGCGGUGAAAUGCGUAGAUAUUAGGAGGAACACCAGUGGCGAAGGCGACUUUCUGGACUGUUACUGACGCUGAGGCACGAAAGCGUGGGGAGCGAACAGGAUUAGAUACCCUUGUAGUCC